rnacentral:piRNA from 1 species
UUUUCUAUGUGCUAAUCACUAUUUGAGCCA